CCGCCCCCGCCCGCGGCCACAGGUUCCCACGAGCCCUGCCGAGGUUUUGAGCCCGGAGGCGGGAGUGUCGGGAUGCUCUACACUCCGGACUUUUUGAAGCUACCUUCUCAACAGUGACAGUCAUGAAAAUGUGACCAUCACUGCAUUAGCAGAAAACUGAGAAAACCCUGCUGAACAAUCCUGAAA